UACGAAGGGGGCAAGCGUUACUCGGAAUUACUGGGCGUAAAGCGUGCGUAGGUGGUUUGUUAAGUCUGUUGUGAAAGCCCCGGGCUCAACCUGGGAAUGGCAAUGGAUACUGGCAAGCUAGAGUGCGGUAGAGGGUAGUGGAAUUCCCGGUGUAGCGGUGAAAUGCGUAGAGAUCGGGAGGAACACCAGUGGCGAAGGCGGCUACCUGGACCAGCACUGACACUGAGGCACGAAAGCGUGGGGAGCAAACAGG
rnacentral:rRNA from 1 species